rnacentral:lncRNA from 1 species
AAGCCCCUUUGAGGAUAAAAGAAUUCAUCUGAGAGUCAGAUCCCUUCCUGGCUGGUGCAUCCGUCCGCCACAUGACAAGCAGUGGGGAAGUCAAUAGCACCCUCGCCCGGCUCCACCUGUGAUCCUGGAGAACAAGAGAGGAGCCGGCUGGAGGGAAGAAAAUCCUGAUCUUGUGAUUUCAAUUACAGGGAGGUGAAAAAUUAUUUGAUAUCUGAGCUUGCUAAAGGCUCCUAUUCCUUCUGCUCCAAAGAUCUUUCCUGCUAAACUGAACAAAAGAGGAGAAAGAAGUGGAGAUGCAUACUGAGGGGAAGGGGUAGUGGAAAAGAAAGCCGGCACAGCAGGAGGAGAGCAGAUGACAAUGCAGACACAAGAAAGGACUU